rnacentral:tRNA from 1 species
GUUUGUGGCUCAAUGGUAGAGCACUCGCCUAGUACAUGUGAGGCACUGGGUUCAAGCCUCAGCACUACA